rnacentral:rRNA from 1 species
UUUAACGGCCGCAGUAUUUUGACUGUGCAAAGGUAGCAUAAUCAUUAGUCUUUUAAUAGGGGGCUGGUAUGAAGGGUUUGACGAGGUGUUUACUGUCUCAUUUGGUUUGUAUUUAAAAUUUAACUUUUCAGUUAAAAGGCUGAAAUUAUAUUGGAAGACGAGAAGACCCUAUAGAGCUUUAUAAUUAAAAUUUUCAUUAUUCUUUGCUUAUUAUUUUUUAUUAUUAUUUUAAUUAUUUUGUUGGGGUGACAAAAAUAUAUAUUUAACUUUUUUAUUUAAUUAACAUUGAUUUAUGAUUAAUAGAUCCAUUAUUAGUGAUUGUUAGAUUAAGUUACCUUAGGGAUAACAGCGUAAUCUUCCUCCAGAGUUCAUAUUUACGGGAAGGCUUGCGACCUCGAUGUUGGAUUAAGAUAAUAGUUAGGUGUAGCCGCUUAAUGUGUAGGUCUGUUCGACCUUUAAAUUCUUACAUGAUCUGA